rnacentral:rRNA from 1 species
UACGGAGGGGGCUAGCGUUGUUCGGAAUUACUGGGCGUAAAGCGCACGUAGGCGGCUUUGUAAGUUAGAGGUGAAAGCCCGGGGCUCAACUCCGGAAUUGCCUUUAAGACUGCAUCGCUAGAAUUGUGGAGAGGUAAGUGGAACUGCAAGUGUAGAGGUGAAAUUCGUAGAUAUUCGCAAGAACACCAGUGGCGAAGGCGGCUUACUGGUCCGGUUCUGACGCUGAGGCGCGAAAGCGUGGGGAGCAAACAGG